CAGACCACACAUGAGAGGAACACUGAGCUGUGCAGAGAAGUGUGCCAGAGGGUGCCAGUGAACAGACGCCACACAUGAGAUCAACAUAGAACCGUGCAGAGAAGUGUGCCAGUGCCAGUAAACAGACGCCGCACAGAAAACAAACCCAGAGCUGUGCAGAGAUGUGUGCCAGUGCCAGAGGGUGCCGGUGAAGAGACUGACAUUCUGUUUAUCAUGUCUCAUUGGAAGGAGGAGGUAGCCUUGGAGCUACUACAUGUGAGGAGGAAAUAAAAGCCCAACUAACAGGCACUGUUAAGGAUGCCAUGUUUACGGCAACAUUACAAAAAUCCUGUUCAACCGGGGAUAUUGUGAAGACACAACAGCAAAUUCUUAACAAACUCAAGUCACUUAAGAAACAGUAUACCAAAGUCCAUGACCACAAUUGAAAUCACAGUGGUAUGGGAAGGAUGGAGUGGCCCUUAUAUGAUUUGUGCACUACCAUGUUUGGCCAUACAGCAAUAUACAAUCCCGUUGCCUUAUCUUCAUCUAGUAAUGCUGGCACGCUAUCUGCAAUAACGUCAGCAACAGCUUCAUCGUCUCGAGUGCAGACAGCAGAGCCCGACAUCAUCGCAGAUCCUAUUUGAUGAUGAUCCAGACGAUGAUUUAGAUGUCACCAUUAUCGAUCCAAACAAGGUCACAGGUGUGACAGCACCGUCGCAGAGCCAGGGGACAAGUCCCAACCACAGACCCAGGGAGACAAGCCUACCCUAAGUACAAAUAUUUAUAUGGUCUCAACUCAUAAGAAAAGGAAGACCAAAAUAGAGGUAGCAACAAAAGCCAUGACCAAUAUCCUGUGCGAGCAACUACGCAAGCUGGAUUCAGAUUGGCAGGGUCAAGAGGAUGCAAGAUUGCAAAAAUUUAUGGAAAAUGAAUGUGUACUGCAGAGGAAUUUGAUAAAUGCAAAUGGUAGCUAUGCAGGAUAAGAUCAGUAUCGAAAACCGUGCUUUUCUAGGUCAACUAUUUACCCAAAUGUGCGCAAUACCUCAACUUAUAAACAACACCCAUUCUGAUCAAUAAUCUCCUUCUCACACCUCAUAUGUUCCAAAAACUCGGUAUGCACAGCAAGCCCAGUCUACCAUAUAUUUUAGGGCUACAUCCCAGUAUGCGCAGCAAGCCCAGUCUACCAUAUCUUUUGGGGCUACUCCCAAGUAUACGCAGCAAGCCCAGUCUCCCACAUCUUUUGGGGCUUCAUCCCAGUAUGCGCAGGAAGCCCUGUCUCCCAUAUCUUUUGGGGCUACAUCCCAGUAUACACAGCAAACCCAGUCUCCCACCUCUUUUAGGGCUACUCCUCAGUAUGCGCAUCAAGGCCAGUCUCCCACCUCCUUUGUUUCGACAUCCAGUUAUGCGCAAAAAAGCUCACUCUCUCUAAGCGUUUUCUGAGAAUACAUUGAAGAAUGGACAGAGAGGUCCAGUACUUGUAGAUUUAUUACCUAGUACUACUCCAGAAGAAUCUACUGCCAGCAAUAGUCCAGUUUCCACAGUGCCAAAAUCUUUAAUUUAUACUGUGCACAUUAAUAUGUUUAUUGGGAGAGUAUUGUGCCCAAAAGUUUGUUUAGUUUGUGAAAUGCGUAUGUUUGUACUGAAAAAAUGUUGAUUCGCAUAUAUGCUUAUAAUUAGGAGUACAUCAUACACCUUGGCCUUAUGAAAAUCUCUUUAGUAUUUUACACUGCAAUACCGCAGCACUUUUAUUUUAUGUAGAACAGGGGCCUUCAACCUUGCCCUGUGGCUGUUAUGGAACUACACUUCGCAGCAUGGUCUGUCGAUGAUUUAGCAUGGGCUAAUAUCUAAAAUGUGGCAGGGCAUGCUGGGAACUGUAGUUCCAUAACAGCUGCAGGGCCAAGGUUGAAGACCCCUGUCAUACACCAUGCCCUUCUGAAAAAUUUGUAUUUUGCACUGCAAUACUGCAGCACUUUUAUGUUAUGGCUAAAUUGGGUGUAAUGCGUGUUAUUCCUGAUAAGGUUUUGUAUAUGUAUGCACUCAUAAUAGUGAGGAUCUCAUACACCAUGGGUGUUCAUCUUGUUUGCAAGAUAUAUGUUAAAGAGUUUCGCACGAUUUACUAUUUGAUCUAAAAACUUUUAUUAUUUGAAUAAAUGUAUCCUUUCAUAAACCACCUCCGUAAUGGGUAUGCAGCAACCAAAUUUAAAUGCACAAGUAUCUCCGCACUGUCCACAAACGUUGACAUCUACAAAUGAAAACAAUUGUUUUAAUAAAUAUAUGCAUAAUGGCUA